GUCUCUUAAUCCACUAUACGUUGAUACUUGGGGUAGUUGAAAACAAUUACAUACUAUUUCAGAAAUGCAAUAUGGAAACGAUUUAGGAAGAAGUGUGCAUGAAAGCAAUGUUAUGACAAUAAAAUAAAAGAUAUUUUCGAGAAGAUCAAAGCAAAAAAUGAAUUUCAGAUUCCUUAUAUGAAGCUAAAAAAAAGAAGCCUAAUUAGAUAUGAAAAGAUGCAUGGAUAAUCUUUUUAGAGAAGUGGGAGGCUCCUAAAUUUAAGAGGAAGAGUGAACAAGCAAACACAAUCUGAGCCUCUCAAAAGGUUAGCUCGUGACACAUCUUAGGAUCUAUGAAUUUUUCUCUACAUCGACAAAGAAUGGAAAUGUUAAAAGGAGGACCAAUGUCUCAUGUUGAGGUCUUUGUGGAGACAACAAGAAAAAGAAAAAGGACGAUUCAAGAGAAGGAUGGGUCAAGCCACAUGGAGAGGAGACAUAUGGAAGAUCAUAACUUUAAGACUAUUGUGUUUUCUUUAAUAUUAGUUUAAAUUUUUAUAUAUUAUGCUUAUUAUUUUUAUUUUAGGAAGGAUAUGAUAGAAGUUUGGAUGAAUAGCGCCAGACACAACCUGCUUCUCAGGAUGGUACAAUAAUUCAAUUGACACCCGAUGAUAUAAUUUCAAUAUGAACAGAUGAUGAUUUAUCAAAGGUAGAUUCUAUGA